AGCAGCCGCGGUAAUUCCAGCUCCAAUAGCGUAUAUUAAAGUUGCUGCAGUUAAAAAGCUCGUAGUUGAAUUUCGGGACUAAUAUGUCGGUCGUGCCUCGGUACGUACUGGUUUAUUGGUUUCUCCUUUCUGAAGAACCAUGAUGUCAUUUAUUUGGUGUCGUGGGGAAUCAGGACUGUUACUUUGAAAAAUUAGAGUGUUUAAAGCAGGCUCACGCUUGAAUACAUUAGCAUGGAAUAAUGAAAUAGGACGUUUGAUUCUAUUUUGUUGGUUUCUAGGAUCGACGUAAUGAUUAAUAGGGAUAGUUGGGGGCAUUAGUAUUCAAUUGUCAGAGGUGAAAUUCUUGGAUUUAUUGAAGACUAACUACUGCGAAAGCAUUUGCCAAGGAUGUUUUCAUUAAUCAAGAACGAAAGUUAGGGGAUCGAAGACGAUCAGAUACCGUCGUAGUCUUAACCAUAAACUAUGCCGACUAGGGAUCGGAUGAUGUUAAUUUUUAAUGUACUCAUUCGGCGCCUUACGG
rnacentral:misc_RNA from 1 species